rnacentral:tRNA from 2 species
GGCAGAUUGCCCGAGCGGCCAAAGGGAGCUGACUGUAAAUCAGCCGGCAUUGCCUUCAUAGGUUCGAAUCCUAUAUCUGCCAC